UCCGAAGUGCUAACCAGUAGGCCAUCUGCUGCCCCUGAGUCCAGACCUUAACCCCAUUGAGAAUCUUUGGGAUGUGCUGGAGAAGACUGUGCGCAGUGGUCCGAAUCUCCCGUCAUCAAUACAAGAUCUUGGCUAAAAUUAAUGCACCGCUGGAAGGAGUUACAUGUUGUGGAAACGAUGCCACAGCGAAUGCGUGCUGUAAAUCAAAGCUAAAGACGGUCCAACGUAAUAUUAGUGUGUGACCUUUUUAUUGGCCAGACAGUGUAAAUUGUAGGAUUGUAGGGGUGAAUAUG